UGCAUUUCUAUUGCUGUGUGAAUUCACAGGCUGAAAACAAAGAAUGAAGACGGGGUUAUUGAACCUCCUUGAAAAAGCCCCAGAGAAACAAUCCAGCCCUAAUUGCUUCUGGAUAGUGCAGAAGGUACAGUGAUUGCUGAGGAAAGUUAAUGUUUGGAUUGUUACUUGUAGAGAGGGAUGGAAUUUUUGCAUUAUGAAGUGGAAACAAUUUAGAUAAAUGAUAUGAAAAAUAUAAUAAGUAAUAUAAAUUAAUAAUUUCUCAUUCAAUAUAAUAAAUAAAACAUAAUGUUUUAAUACAAUAUGUACUAGAAUAAAUUAAUAUAAAAUAUAAAUAUUUGAAUAUAAUGAAUCAUAUGUUGGUAUUGAUUUCUUCUCUUACAGUGUUUUGCUCUGGUGAGUUUAACAGCCACAGUCUGUAGUUAAAGUGGUGCAGAUCAAGGCCACGUUCAGCCUUGUGGCUGAUACUGUAGCAAAGCACAGAAUUUGGGCAUAUACAUCCAAGCAAGACAGGGGUGCCGAGCGCAGGGAAACCUCGGGAGCUUAAAUGCAACAAAGCAGUUUUGCACCAGGGAGCGGUGGGAUGAACCAGGCGCCUCCGUGCCAGAAGUGCAUUGGUCCUGGCAGAGGAGCGUGGGUUUGGCCCAGUGUUCGUGUGCUGCUGGGAGGUGGGACAGAGGCCAAAAAACAGAAGAGCAACAAAAAGCUGUAAGCAGAGGUUGUUUGGAGUCCUGCGUGCCGGUGCCAGCAGCUUUCUCGUCAGCGCCGGAGCUGUGGCCAAGAAGCUGAGAAAAUUGACCUGCUUCUGGAUGCAUUCUGCUUUUGGAUGGAAGAGAGAAAAUAGCCCGAAGCGGUAACAUCUGUGUGGGCCAGCUAAGGUGAGAUACAAAGAAGGAAAGAGAAAUGUCUAAAAGCAGUGGAAACAAUACCAAAAUAUUUAAGGGAGACUCCGAUCAUAUCACUUGAGGCAGGAAACGCCAACAGUAUCUGCAAAAUACUCUGUGUAGUGCACACAAAACUGUGCCAGAGAGCUGAGCCUGACAGUCCUUCAUCUAAGGAAUUAUCAAACGAAUCCUGCUGCUGUUCUUCUGGCUUGGAAUUUACUGCUGCUGCUGCUUGUCCUCCUCUUGGAAUAACUCAGGUUAAAGCCACCCCAAAAUAAAUGCGCAGAACUCAAGGAGAGUAAUCUCUGGCAGGAAAAACAGGAGAUAGCGUGAACCAGAAUAGCUAGUGGCAAUCCCAGUCAUUUACCAGGGAUCUUAGCUAGGUUAAUUUAUGUGUCCUCGAUAGGUCUGUCAUUUCAACACUUAGAGGAAGAGCAAUCUCAGUGAGAUGGAGGUUAAAAUGACAUCUCUCACCUUCCAGAAAAGGUAAUGUAAGCUGAAGGUGUCUCAGCCAUUUAAUAUUCACUAUGGCAGAGGCAGACUGCCUCUGUAGCCUUGAGGUUUGGCACUGAGGAAGGUACUCCUCGUUCUCGCGCCUUUUAAUAUUUCACGAUUUUGCAUGCCUUGUCCCGGGUGAGAGCUGUAGUUGCUGUGCCUUCCGAGGAAAAAUGUACUGCAGCUUUUAGUGCUUAGGCCCUGAGAGGAAGGUCUGAGCUGUACCUAUACAAACCAGCGUUCAAAACUAUGAGUCCUGACUAGAAAUAGGUACCUAGUUCCAAUCCUCACCUUGUCAUUUUGCACUGAUGGGUGGAGGUGGCUUUUCCCUGAGCGUGCACACUUCUGUGCAGGUGCUCUGCAAGUGUGAAAUGCUGGAGCAGUGCUGUGUUUAACACUGGGGGGUGAACGGGAACGUUCUCCUUGCAAAAUACCUUUUUUUCUGUAUCGAAGUCACAAGCCGUCUUCUGGAAUGGCCAAACUGAAUGCAAGAACUGGACCACAAGAAUCAAGUUGGUCAAUCUCAGUUUCUGAUAGCUUUCCCUUUUACAUUCACUUUUCUUCCUUAGACUAUGCAGUAUUAGAAGUGUGUGUGUAGUUGCUAACUUAGCACCAGAAGACACAUUUUUUUGCUUAUGUUCUUGUCCUAACUUAAACUGGCCUCCUCUUCCUGUCUCCAUAAACUGUACUUUUAAGCUCAGAUUUGAUGGUAUCACCAAAAUCCAAAUCCUCCUUCUUUCUUCCCUACCACCAUUCCUUGAGAGAAAUGUGUGGGGGUAAAAGCAAUGAAAACGGGAAGCUGCACAGACAACGGGCAGUACAGAGGGUCGUGUUGCCCUUAUCUCUGCCACUGCAAGUGUGGGGCAGGAUUCAUCCUUUGAGCUCUCCAUGAGGCCAACAAAGCACGUAGUUCUAUCCAUGGCAGCCAAGACUGUAAAUCAACAUAUCUCCAGACUCUUCAGUGAUUCUCAUUUCCACAAUCAAACAAGCAUCUAGAAAGGCUGUAACUUCUGAAAUGCAAUCCCCACUCCCACUGCUGAAUUGCGGGAAUCACGUGGAUUUCAGGCCGCAAAAUAAGCGAACUCCGUCAUUUCUACCCACUCACCUGUGUCACAAGAAGGGCUGCUCCAUCCACUGCUGCACCUGCACUCAUCGGGUGACACACAGACCCCGCCGUUGUGACAGUGCCUGUUACACACCACUGGAAAACACCCAAAGCAUGAAAUCUCUUAUCGCUGACACUCAUAGAUCCUAAGGCUGCUCUCUUAGAGCAAAUAACUAAUGGGAUCAGUCCAAGAGUUUUCUACAAAUUCAAACAUGUGAUGAGGAGAAAAGCCUGAAUGAAUUCAUACAUACUUGUUUCACAUCGAGGGCCAACAAAUCCAUAAGCACAAGAACAAGUAUUUUGAGACAGG